UCCUCCUAGCACGGUGUCCUUUUUCUCUAUCUGUCCUAACUGAAAGCCCUAUCAAUUGUGGAGCCAAUCAGCAACAAGAAGCUGCAGCAGAGGGAUGAAAGAGCCACAUGCGGCUCCAGAGCCACAGAUUGCUGACCCCUGGAAUAGGCACUGUUUUAUGAAUCCAUUUUUACACUGAGUAGGAAUGAACAUGCAAAUUAACACUAACAAAAGAAAAGCUGUGGCAAAUUGCAUGGGCUCCUGCUCCCAAAUCGGUUUUAAAAAUUAUCCUAGUGGCAUUGAAUGCUGGAGGAAUGAGGCAAACACAAGGAAGGACAGAUCUAUGAAACAAUGAAGAGACAAAAAGGAGAACAUCAUCUCAAUCUAUUAAAUUGUGAAUACGAUUUCACAGCACUUCAGAGAGUUCUGAAUAUUCUGCAACCAUUAUCUUCUUCUAAAAGCCUGGAAGCAGGACCAGUUUUCUCCCCUUAAUGGUUGAGGAGUCUGUGUGUGUGUGUGCGUGCGUGUGCAUGUGCAUGGACACGUGUGUUCAUAAGUGAACACAUGACUGACCACAGGGACUGACAACUUUUGCAGGUGCCAAGCACAAAUGGCUUGAGUGCUACCGCAAAGGAAAUUAAAAUAUACCCUCAUAAUA